GCCAUGGCUCAGUGGUAAAGCAUCUGCUUUGCACACAGAAUGUUCCAGGUUCAAUCCCCAAUAUCUCCA